rnacentral:rRNA from 1 species
UACGGGGGGGGCAAGCGUUGUUCGGAAUUACUGGGCGUAAAGGGCUCGUAGGUGGCCAACUAAGUCAGACGUGAAAUCCCUCGGCUUAACCGGGGAACUGCGUCUGAUACUGGAUGGCUUGAGUUUGGGAGAGGGAAGUGGAAUUCCCGGUGUAGUGGUGAAAUGCGUAGAUAUCAGGAGGAACACCUGUGGCGAAAGCGGCUCACUGGACCAUAACUGACGCUGAUGCACGAAAGCUAGGGGAGCAAACAGG